UGCGCCGUCAUUAGGGAGUAACCUAUUUUUGCCUUGUAGCGAAAAUGCCCGUGUCAACAUACUCGUUUCUUUGGUAAACGUGGUGCGGGCGGCCUUUAUCGGCUGGCGAGACUAUAGACAUGCGGACCUAUCGGUAAGGUUGGGGGGACAGGGAAGCGUGGAUAUGGGCGCCCAGCCGAGGCU
rnacentral:sRNA from 2 species